rnacentral:rRNA from 1 species
UGGGGAAUAUUGGACAAUGGGGGCAACCCUGAUCCAGCAAUACCGCGUGUGUGCAGAAGGCCCUAGGGUUGUAAAGCACUUUCAAUUGGGAAGAAAAGCAUUCGGUUAAUACCCGGGUGUCUUGACGGUACCUUUACAAGAAGCACCGGCUAACUCCGUGCCAGCAGCCGCGGUAAUACGGAGGGUGCAAGCGUUAAUCGGAAUCACUGGGCGUAAGGCGCACGCAGGCGGUUUGUUAAGUCAGAUGUGAAAGCCCCGGGCUCAACCUGGGAACUGCAUUUGAUACUGGCAAACUAGAGUAUGAGAGAGAGAAGUGGAAUUCCACAUGUAGCGGUGAAAUGCGUAGAGAUGUGGAGGAACAUCAGUGGCGAAGGCGACUUCUUGGCUCAAUACUGACGCUCAGGUGCGAAAGCGUGGGGAGCAAACAGGAUUAGAUACCCGUGUAGUCC